rnacentral:rRNA from 1 species
UGGCUCAGGAUGAACGCUGGCGGCGUGCUUAACACAUGCAAGUCGAACGGAGUUAUUUCAGUGCUUGCACGAAAAUAACUGAGUGGCGGACGGGUGAGUAACGCGUGGGUAACCUGCCUCAUACAGGGGAAUAACAGCUGGAAACAGCUGCUAAAACCGCAUAAGCGCACGAGUACCGCAUGGUACGGUGUGAAAAACUCCGGUGGUAUGAGAUGGACCCGCGUCUGAUUAGCUGGUUGGUGAGGUAACGGCCCACCAAGGCGACGAUCAGUAGCCGGCCUGAGAGGGUGAACGGCCACAUUGGGACUGAGACACGGCUCAAACUCCUACGGGAGGCAGCAGUGGGGAAUACUGCACAAUGGGGGGAACCCUGAUGCAGCGACGCCGCGUGAGUGAAGAAGUAUUUCGGUAUGUAAAGCUCUAUCAGCAGGGAAGAAAGAAGACGGUACCUGACUAAGAAGCCCCGGCUAACUACGUGCCAGCAGCCGCGGUAAUACGUAGGGGCAAGCGUUAUCCGGAUUUACUGGGUGUAAAGGGUGCGUAGGUGGCAUGGUAAGUCAGAAGUGAAACUCCGGGGCUCAACCCCGGAACUGCUUUUGAAACUAUCAGGCUGGAGUACAGGAGAGGUAAGCGGAAUUCCUAGUGUAGCGGUGGAAUGCGUAGAUAUUUAGGAGGAACACCAGUGGCGAAGGCGGCUUACUGGACUGAAACUGACACUGAGGCACGAAAGCGUGGGGAGCAAACAGGAUUAGAUACCCUGGUAGUCCACGCCGUAAACGAUGAUACUAGUGUCGGGGCCC